rnacentral:rRNA from 1 species
GAGUAGAGUAGCGUAAGGGUGAGUAAUGGGUAGCCAACGUACCCAGGUGACGCGGAUAGCUCGCCGAAAGGUGAGGUAAUACGCGAUGAGGCCACGGUGACUUCGGUCACAGGGGUCAAAGGUCCGGGAUCCUUCGGGACCGGGCGCACCUGGAGCGGGCGACCUCCGAUUAGCUAGUUGGCGGGGUAAUGGCCCACCAAGGCGAUGAUCGGUAGCCGGGCUGAGAGGCUGUCCGGCCACACUGGCACUGAGACACUGGCCAGACUCCUAUGGGAGGCUGCAGUCGCGAAUUUUUCACAAUGGGCGCAAGCCUGAUGGAGCCACGCCGCGUGCGGGAUGAAGGCCCUCUGGGUUGUAAACCGCUGUCGAGUGGGGGGAACGCCGUCCAGUGAAUAGCUGGACGAUUGACUGCCCGCUGAAGGAAGCCCCGGCAAAACAUGUGCCAGCAGCCGCGGUAAUACAUGUGGGGCAAGCGUUGUUCGGAAUUACUGGGCAUAAAGGGUGCGUAGGCGGUGCGAUAAGUCAGUGGUGAAAUCCUGCGGCCUAACCGUAGAACUGCCAUUGAUACUGUCGGACUUGAGUGCGUGAGGGGUAGCCGGAACGAGUGGUGUAGCGGUGAAAUGCGUAGAUAUCACUCGGAAGGCCAAAGCCGAAGGGAGGCUACUGGCACGCAACUGACGCUGAGGCACGAAAGCGUGGGGAGCAAACAGGAUUAGAUACCCUGGUAGUCCACGCCGUAAACUAUGGGCACUGGAUCGAUGUCGGGCUCUCCGAUGUCGGUCGUAGACAAUUCGAUAAGUGCCCCGCCUGGGGAGUAUGGUCGCAAGGCUGAAACUCAAAGGAAUUGACGGGGGCUCACACAAGCUGGAGGAUGUGGUUUAAUUCGAAGCAACGCGCAGAACCUUACCAGGACUUGCAUGGUGGGAUUAGGUGGGUGAAAGCCUACUGAUUGCCAGCAAUGGUGUAACCAUCACAGGUGCUGCAUGGCUGUCGUCAGCUCGUGCCGUGAGGUGUUCGGUUAAGUCCUUUAACGAGCGAAACCCCUAGAGUCUGUUGCCAGCGGUUAAAGCCGGGAACGCAGAUUCGACUGCCGCGCAAGCUGGAGGAAGGUGGGGACGACGUCAAGUCAUCAUGGCCUUUAUGUCCUGGGCCACACACGUCCUACAAUGGGUGGUACAAAGGGUUGCCAAGCCGCAAGGCGGAGCCAAUCCCAGAAAGUCACCCUCAGUUCAGAUUGUGGGCUGCAAUUCGCCCACAUGAAGCUGGAAUCGCUAGUAAUCGCGGAUCAGCCACGCCGCGGUGAAUAUGUUCCUGAGCCUUGUACACACCGCCCGUCAAGCCACCCGAAUUGGUAGCACCCGAAGUCGUAGUUCUAACCGCAAGGAGGGACGCGCCGAAGGUGAACCCGGUAAGGGGGACUAAGUCGAAACAAGGUA